rnacentral:rRNA from 1 species
AACGAACGCUGGCGGCAGGCUUAACACAUGCAAGUCGAGCGCCCCGCAAGGGGAGCGGCAGACGGGUGAGUAACGCGUGGGAAUCUACCCAUCUCUACGGAAUAACGCAUGGAAACGUGUGCUAAUACCGCAUACGUCCUUCGGGAGAAAGAUUUAUCGGAGAUGGAUGAGCCCGCGUUGGAUUAGCUAGUUGGUGGGGUAAAGGCCUACCAAGGCGACGAUCCAUAGCUGGUCUGAGAGGAAGAUCAGCCACACUGGGACUGAGACACGGCCCAGACGCCUACGGGAGGCAGCAGUGGGGAAUAUUGGACAAUGGGCGCAAGCCUGAUCCAGCCAUGCCGCGUGAGUGAUGAAGGCCCUAGGGUUGUAAAGCUCUUUCACCGGUGAAGAUAAUGACGGUAACCGGAGAAGAAGCCCCGGCUAACUUCGUGCCAGCCGCCGCAGUAACAC